UACGGAGGGGGCUAGCGUUGUUCGGAAUUACUGGGCGUAAAGCGCACGUAGGCGGCUUUGUAAGUUAGAGGUGAAAGCCCGGGGCUCAACUCCGGAAUUGCCUUUAAGACUGCAUCGCUAGAAUUGUGGAGAGGAAAGCGGAAUUCCUGGUGUAGCGGUGAAAUGCGUAGAUAUCAGGAGGAACACCUGCGGUGUAGACGGCUUUCUGGACCAUUGUUGACGCUGAGACACGAAAGCGUGGGUAGCAAACAGG
rnacentral:rRNA from 1 species